GAUGAACGCUAGCGGCAGGCCUAACACAUGCAAGUCGAGGGGUAGAAUUAGCUUGCUAAUUUGAGACCGGCGCACGGGUGCGUAACGCGUAUGCAAUCUGCCUUGUACUGAGGGAUAGCCCAGAGAAAUUUGGAUUAAUACCUCAUAGUAUUAUGAUGUGGCAUCACAUUAUAAUUAAAGUUCCAACGGUACAAGAUGAGCAUGCGUCCCAUUAGUUAGUUGGUAAGGUAACGGCUUACCAAGACGAUGAUGGGUAGGGGUCCUGAGAGGGAGAUCCCCCACACUGGUACUGAGACACGGACCAGACUCCUACGGGAGGCAGCAGUGAGGAAUAUUGGUCAAUGGGCGCAAGCCUGAACCAGCCAUGCCGCGUGCAGGAUGACGGUCCUAUGGAUUGUAAACUGCUUUUAUACGGGAAGAAACACUGCUACGUGUAGCAGCUUGACGGUACCGUAAGAAUAAGGAUCGGCUAACUCCGUGCCAGCCGCCGCUGUAA
rnacentral:rRNA from 1 species